rnacentral:rRNA from 1 species
CCUACGGGAGGCAGCAGUGGGGAAUAUUGCACAAUGGGGGGAACCCUGAUGCAGCAACGCCGCGUGGGUGAAGAAGUACUCCGGUAUGUAAAGCUCUGUCAGCUGUGAAGAAAAUGACGGUAGCUGACGAAGAAGCUCCGGCUAACUACGUGCCAGCAGCCGCGGUAAUACGUAGGGAGCGAGCGUUCUCUGGAUUUACUGGGUGUAAAGGGAGCGUAGACGGCAUGGCAAGUCUGGAGUGAAAGCCCGUGGCCCAACCACGGGACUGCUUUUGAAACUGUGUUGCUGGAGUGCAGUAGAGGUAGGCGGAAUUCCUGGUGUAGCGGUGAAAUGCGUAGAGAUUGGGAGGAACACCAGUGGCGAAGGCGGCUUACUGGACUGUAACUGACGCUGAGGCUCGAAGGCGUGGGGAGCAAACAGGAUUAGAUACCCUUGUAGUC